AACGAACGCUGGCGGCAUGCCUAACACAUGCAAGUCGAACGGGAUCCUAGCUUGCUAGGUGAGAGUGGCGGACGGGUGAGUAACACGUGGGAAUCUGCCUUUUGGUUCGGGAUAACCGCGGGAAACUGCGGCUAAUACCGAAUGCCCUCGAGAGAGGAAAGAUUUAUCGCCAGAAGAGGAGCCCGCGUCCGAUUAGGUAGUUGGUGGGGUAAAGGCCUACCAAGCCGACGAUCGGUAGCUGGUCUGAGAGGAUGAUCAGCCACACUGGGACUGAGAUACGGCCCAGACUCCUACGGGAGGCAGCAGUGGGGAAUAUUGGACAAUGGGGGCAACCCUGAUCCAGCAAUGCCGCGUGAGUGAUGAAGGCCUUAGGGUUGUAAAGCUCUUUUGCCAGGGAAGAUGAUGACUGUACCUGGAGAAUAAGCCCCCGGGCUAACUUCGUGCCAGCAGCCGCGGUAAU
rnacentral:rRNA from 1 species